CACCCAAUCAACAACAACAGAACCGACUACCACCCAAUCAACAACUACAGCACUGACUACCACCCAAUCAACAACUACAGAACCGACUACCACCCAAUCAACAACUACAGAACUGACUACCACCCAAUCAACAACUACAGAACUGACUACCACCCAAUCAACAACUACAGAACUGACUACCACCCAAUCAACAACUACAGAACCGACUACCACCCAACUGACUACCACCCAAACGACUACCACCCAAUCAACAACUACAGAACCGACUACCACUGCUCCAACGGCCACCCAACCAAUCCCAACAGGUGCCACAAACAGAACUGGAGAUGGCAACAACAGAAGAAAGCACGAGGCAAGCAGCGAGGAGUCUGACUCGGCAGAGAUGGACUUGAGGCUGGAGGAACUGCUGAACCGGCACAACGAGACGGCGGAUGAAUACGAGGCUGAGGAAGGUGGGGAACGUAAGAAGCGAUCCAGUGAGGACCGAUCCAGUGAGGAGACCAAGCAGUUGUCUUUCGGCCUUUACGGGAUCUUCCAGCUGUCUGACAAGACCUUCUGUAACUCCGGUUAUCGCUCCUCCAAAAACAAGUGCAACACAGCCUGCAAUGCCUUCACUGAUGACAACAUUAUGGAUGACAUUGAUUGCUUUGUAAAGACUGAUCAGUGGGGCUUGUUUUUGAAGUCCGCCUCUCGCGAGUGCCGAUAUCGCACCAAGAACUUCUUUGAUGAGUGUAAAUGAGCAGCAGACAUGUUUUCCACCUGCUGCUGAAGAUCACACCAACAAUCAUUCUUCUACCUUCAACGUGAUCUUUGAUCCUCAUGGUUUCAUCUCAAACAUUGUGGGACAUGUCACAGUUUUUCAUUUUAAUUAACCAAUGAGAUUUCUAUAAUCAUUUUGUUUCAGUUCCUUUGUGGGUGAAUUUGCCCCCAAAAAUCACCAGAACUUGAAGUUGAACUGAAAAAUGUAUUUUAGUAAUUUCCAUAGUUUUGAUGAUAUUGUUUUACCAUUUUAAGCUAUUUUAAAGUGAUUAUUUCAAG
rnacentral:lncRNA from 1 species